UACAGGGGGUGCAAACGUUGCUCGGAAUCAUUGGGCGUAAAGCGCACGUAGGCGGUCUGUUAUGUCGGAUGUGAAAGCCCUUGGCUUAACUGAGGAAGUGCAUCCGAAACUGGCAGGCUAGAGUACUAAAGAGGGUCGCGGAAUUCCCGGUGUAGAGGUGAAAUUCGUAGAUAUCGGGAGGAACACCAGUGGCGAAGGCGCGUUUCUGGGCUGCAUCUGACGCUGAGGCGCGAAAGCUAGGGGAGCAAACAGG
rnacentral:rRNA from 1 species